GGGUCCGCACAAGCGGUGGAGCAUGUGGUUUAAUUCGAUAAUACGCGAGGAACCUUACCUAGGCUAGAAUGCGAGUGACAUCCAGAGAGAUCUGGAGUUCUUCGGACACAAAGCAAGGUGCUGCAUGGUUGUCGUCAGCUCGUGCCGUGAGGUGUUGGGUUAAGUCCCGCAACGAGCGCAACCCCUGUUUUUAGUUGCCAGCAAGUAAUGUUGGGGACUCUAGAAAGACUGCCUGCGUAAGCAGAGAGGAAGGAGGGGACGACGUCAAAUCAGCAUGGCCCUUAUGCCUAGGGCUACACACGUGCUACAAUGGCGUAUACAAAGGGUAGCGAACCAGUGAUGGUAAGCCAAUCUCUAAAAAGGUGCCUCAGUUCGGAUUGGAGUCUGCAACUCGACUCCAUGAAGUUGGAAUCGCUAGUAA
rnacentral:rRNA from 1 species